rnacentral:rRNA from 1 species
AGAUUGAACGCUGGCGGCAUGCCUAACACAUGCAAGUCGAACGGGAGUAGCAAUACUCUAGUGGCGGACGGGUGAGGAAUACGUAGGAAUUUGCCCUUAAGUGGGGGAUAACCCGGGGAAACCCGGAUUAAUACCGCAUGACCUCGAAAGAGCAAAGUGGGGGAUCGCAAAGACCUCACGCUUUUGGAGAAGCCUACGUCGGAUUAGCUAGUUGGUGAGGUAAUGGCUCACCAAGGCGACGAUCCGUAACUGGUCUGA